UACGUAGGGGGCAAGCGUUGUCCGGAUUUACUGGGCGUAAAGAGCGUGUAGGCGGCCAAACAGGUCCGUUGUGAAAACUGGAGGCUCAACCUCCAGACGUCGACGGAAACCGUGUGGCUAGAGUCCGGAAGGGGAGAGUGGAAUUCCUGGUGUAGCGGUGAAAUGCGCAGAUAUCAGGAAGAACACCCGUGGCUAAGGCGGCUCUCUAGUACGGUACUGACGCUGAGACGCGAAAGCGUGGGGAGCGAACAGG
rnacentral:rRNA from 1 species